GACGUAGGGGGCGAGCGUUGUCCGGAAUCAUUGGGCGUAAAGAGCGCGUAGGCGGCCAGAUAAGUCCGGUGUGAAAGUCAAAGGCUCAACCUUUGAAUGCCGCUGGAAACUGUCUGGCUAGAGUCCGGGAGGGGAGAGUGGAAUUCCUGGUGUAGCGGUGAAAUGCGCAGAUAUCAGGAGGAACACCAGUGGCGAAGGCAGCUCGCUGGAACGGUACUGACGCUGAGGCGCGAAAGCGUGGGGAGCGAACAGG
rnacentral:rRNA from 1 species